CAGUCGCCACGGGAAUACGUAGGGCGCAAGCGUUAUCCGGAAUUAUUGGGCGUAAAGAGCUCGUAGGCGGUUUGUCGCGUCUGCCGUGAAAGUCCGGGGCUCAACCCCGGAUCUGCGGUGGGUACGGGCAGACUAGAGUGAUGUAGGGGAGACUGGAAUUCCUGGUGUAGCGGUGAAAUGCGCAGAUAUCAGGAGGAACACCGAUGGCGAAGGCAGGUCUCUGGGCAUUAACUGACGCUGAGGAGCGAAAGCAUGGGGAGCGAACAGGAUUAGAUACCCCGGUAGUCCCUGUCUCUUAUAC
rnacentral:rRNA from 1 species